AGUAAUGUCUGGGAAACUGCCUGAUGGAGGGGGAUAGCUGCUGGAAACGGUAGCUAAUACCGCAUAACGUCGCAAGACCAAAGAGGGGGACCUUCGGGCCUCUUGCCAUCGGAUGUGCCCAGAUGGGACUAGCUAGUAGGUGGGGUAACGGCUCACCUAGGCGACGAUCCCUAGCUGGUCUGAGAGGAUGGCCAGCCACACUGGAACUGAGACACGGUCCAG
rnacentral:rRNA from 1 species